rnacentral:rRNA from 1 species
UACGGAGGGUGCAAGCGUUGUCCGGAUUUAUUGGGUUUAAAGGGUGCGUAGGCGGCCUUGUAAGUCAGUGGUGAAAGCCUCCAGCUCAACUGGAGAACUGCCAUUGAUACUGCAAGGCUUGAGUACAGACGAGGUUGGCGGAAUUGAUUGUGUAGCGGUGAAAUGCAUAGAUACAAUCAAGAACACCGAUUGCGUAGGCAGCUAACUAGGCUGUAACUGACGCUGAGGCACGAAAGCGUGGGGAGCGAACAGG